rnacentral:rRNA from 1 species
ACUCCUACGGGAGGCAGCAGUGGGGAAUAUUGCACAAUGGGGGAAACCCUGAUGCAGCCAUGCCGCGUGUGUGAAGAAGGCCUUCGGGUUGUAAAGCACUUUCAGCGAGGAGGAAAGGGUGUAAGUUAAUACCUUACAUCUGUGACGUUACUCGCAGAAGAAGCACCGGCUAACUCCGUGCCAGCAGCCGCGGUAAUACGGAGGGUGCGAGCGUUAAUCCGAAUUACUGGGCGUAAAGCGUGCGCAGGCGGUUUGUUAAGCGAGAUGUGAAAGCCCGGCUCAACCUGGAACCGCAUUUCGAACUGGCAAACUAGAGUCUUGUAGAGGGUGGUGGAAUUCCAGUGUAGCGGUGAAAUGCAGUAGAGAUUGGAAGGAACAUCAGUGGCGAAGGCGGCCACCUGGACAAAAACUGACGCUGAGGCACGAAAGCGUGGGUAGCAAACAGGAUUAGAUACCCUGGUAGGACAGUG